AGUUAGUGGCAGACGGGUGAGUAAUGCAUAGGAAUCUACCUAGUAGUAUGGGAUAGCCACUAGAAAUGGUGGGUAAUACUGUAUAAUCCCUGCGGGGGAAAGAUUUAUCGCUAUUAAAUGAGCCUAUGUUAGAUUAGCUAGUUGGUAGGGUAAAGGCCUACCAAGGCAGUGAUCUAUAGCUGGUCUGAGAGGAUGAUCAGCCACACUGGAACUGAGAUACGGUCCAGACUCCUACGGGAGGCAGCAGUGGGGAAUAUUGGACAAUGGGCGCAAGCCUGAUCCAGCUAUGCCGCGUGAGUGAGGAAGGCCUUAGGGUUGUAAAACUCUUUCAGUGGGGAAGAUAAUGACGGUACCCACAGAAGAAGUCCCGGCAAACUCCGUGCCAGCAGCCGCGGUAAUACGGAGGGGGCAAGCGUUGUUCGGAAUUAUUGGGCGUAAAGGGCAUGUAGGCGGUUCGGUAAGUUAAAGGUGAAAUGCCAGGGCUUGACCCUGGAGCUGCUUUUAAUACUGC
rnacentral:rRNA from 1 species